rnacentral:rRNA from 3 species
GUAGCGAAAUUCCUUGUCGGGUAAGUUCCGACCUGCACGAAUGGCGUAAUGAUGGCCAGGCUGUCUCCACCCGAGACUCAGUGAAAUUGAACUCGCUGUGAAGAUGCAGUGUACCCGCGGCAAGACGGAAAGACCCCGUGAACCUUUACUAUAGCUUGACACUGAACAUUGAGCCUUGAUGUGUAGGAUAGGUGGGAGGCUUUGAAGUGUGGACGCCAGUCUGCAUGGAGCCGACCUUGAAAUACCACCCUUUAAUGUUUGAUGUUCUAACGUGGACCCGUUACCCGGGUUGCGGACAGUGUCUGGUGGGUAGUUUGACUGGGGCGGUCUCCUCCUAAAGAGUAACGGAGGAGCACGAAGGUUGGCUAAUCCUGGUCGGACAUCAGGAGGUUAGUGCAAUGGCAUAAGCCAGCUUGACUGCGAGCGUGACGGCGCGAGCAGGUGCGAAAGCAGGUCAUAGUGAUCCGGUGGUUCUGAAUGGAAGGGCCAUCGCUCAACGGAUAAAAGGUACUCCGGGGAUAACAGGCUGAUACCGCCCAAGAGUUCAUAUCGACGGCGGUGUUUGGCACCUCGAUGUCGGCUCAUCACAUCCUGGGGCUGAAGUAGGUCCCAAGGGUAUGGCUGUUCGCCAUUUAAAGUGGUACGCGAGCUGGGUUUAGAACGUCGUGAGACAGUUCGGUCCCUAUCUGCCGUGGGCGCUGGAGAACUGAGGGGGGCUGCUCCUAGUACGAGAGGACCGGAGUGGACGCAUCACUGGUGUUCGGGUUGUCAUGCCAAUGGCACUGCCCGGUAGCUAAAUGCGGAAGAGAUAAGUGCUGAAAGCAUCUAAGCACGAAACUUGCCCCGA